UGUGUCACAUACACAACUCCACAUAGGGA
rnacentral:piRNA from 1 species